rnacentral:rRNA from 2 species
GCUUGCUUUUAAAAGUUAGCGGCGGACGGGUGAGUAACACGUGGGUAACCUGCCUGUAAGACUGGGAUAACUCCGGGAAACCGGGGCUAAUACCGGAUAACUUCUUUCCUCGCAUGAGGAAAGAUUAAAAGAUGGCUUCGGCUAUCACUUACAGAUGGACCCGCGGCGCAUUAGCUAGUUGGUGAGGUAACGGCUCACCAAGGCGACGAUGCGUAGCCGACCUGAGAGGGUGAUCGGCCACACUGGGACUGAGACACGGCCCAGACUCCUACGGGAGGCAGCAGUAGGGAAUCUUCCGCAAUGGACGAAAGUCUGACGGAGCAACGCCGCGUGAGUGAUGAAGGUUUUCGGAUCGUAAAACUCUGUUGUUAGGGAAGAACAAGUAUCGUUCGAAUAGGGCGGUACCUUGACGGUACCUAACCAGAAAGCCACGGCUAACUACGUGCCAGCAGCCGCGGUAAUACGUAGGUGGCAAGCGUUGUCCGGAAUUAUUGGGCGUAAAGCGCGCGCAGGCGGUUUCUUAAGUCUGAUGUGAAAGCCCACGGCUCAACCGUGGAGGGUCAUUGGAAACUGGGAGACUUGAGUGCAGAAGAGGAGAGUGGAAUUCCACGUGUAGCGGUGAAAUGCGUAGAGAUGUGGAGGAACACCAGUGGCGAAGGCGACUCUCUGGUCUGUAACUGACGCUGAGGCGCGAAAGCGUGGGGAGCGAACAGGAUUAGAUACCCUGGUAGUCCACGCCGUAAACGAUGAGUGCUAAGUGUUAGAGGGUUUCCGCCCUUUAGUGCUGCAGCUAACGCAUUAAGCACUCCGCCUGGGGAGUACGGCCGCAAGGCUGAAACUCAAAGGAAUUGACGGGGGCCCGCACAAGCG